AACGAACGUUAGCGGCGCGCCUAACACAUGCAAGUCGAGCGAGAAAGGGGGCAACCCCGGUAAAGCGGCGCACGGGUGAGUAACACGUAGGUAAUCUACCUUCUGGUGGUGGAUAACCUUCCGAAAGGAGGGCUAAUACAGCAUGAGACCACGGUCCCGAGAGGGACAGGGGUCAAAGUCGGCCACUGUACACAAGCUGACGCCAGAAGAUGAGCCUGCGGCCCAUCAGCUAGUUGGUAGGGUAACGGCCUACCAAGGCGAAGACGGGUAGCUGGUCUGAGAGGAUGAUCAGCCACACUGGAACUGAGACACGGUCCAGACUCCUACGGGAGGCAGCAUGGGGAAUCUUGCGCAAUGGGCGAAAGCCUGACGCAGCGACGCCGCGUGAGUGAUGAAGGCCUUCGGGUUGUAAGGUACUCUUUUACCCGGGACUUGAUAAUGAC
rnacentral:rRNA from 1 species